CUAGAAUUAGUUGAAACACUAGCAUUAGAAGGUUUUAUGAUAGAUGGAUCAUGUAAAACUACAUUUAAUUCUUCAAGGAAGGCAGUUUAACAUGGCAGUCACUAAACUGUGUAACCACUACAUACUGAUGUAGUGGUUAUGGUACAUUUAGGCCACAGGUGCUAUCCACUGGUUAAUGAUGAAAAUGUUUUCAAGUAGUUUGACCAAAACCUGACAAACUCAGCC